GGGGAUGUAGUUUAGUGAUAGAACACUUGUCUAGCAUGCAAGAGACCAUGGGUUUGAGCCCUAGCACCA
rnacentral:tRNA from 1 species